rnacentral:rRNA from 1 species
GACGAACGCUGGCGGCGUGCCUAACACAUGCAAGUCGAGCGAGGGACUUCGGUCCCUAGCGGCGGACGGGUGAGUAACACGUGGGUAACCUGCCUCAUAGUGGGGGAUAGCCUUCCGAAAGGAAGAUUAAUACCGCAUAUACUCUCGAUACCGCAUGGUAUUUAGAGGAAAGGAGCAAUCCGCUAUGAGAUGGACCCGCGGCGCAUUAGCUAGUUGGUGAGGUAAUGGCUCACCAAGGCGACGAUGCGUAGCCGACCUGAGAGGGUGAUCGGCCACAUUGGAACUGAGACACGGUCCAGACUCCUACGGGAGGCAGCAGUGGGGAAUAUUGCACAAUGGGCGAAAGCCUGAUGCAGCAACGCCGCGUGAGUGAUGAAGGCCUUCGGGUUGUAAAGCUCUGUCUUUUGGGACGAUAAUGACGGUACCAAAGGAGGAAGCCACGGCUAACUACGUGCCAGCAGCCGCAGUAAAAC